UACGAAGGGUGCAAGCGUUACUCGGAAUUACUGGGCGUAAAGCGUGCGUAGGUGGUUGUUAAGUCUGUUGUGAAAGCCCCGGCUCAACCUGGGAAUGGCAAUGGAUACUGGCAGGCUAGAGUGCGGUAGAGGGUAGUGGAAUUCCCGGUGUAGCGGUGAAAUGCGUAGAGAUCGGGAGGAACACCAGUGGCGAAGGCGGCUACCUGGACCAGCACUGACACUGAGGCACGAAAGCGUGGGGAGCAAACAGG
rnacentral:rRNA from 1 species